UUAUUAAUAUAUAACACGAACCUUUGGGAAACAUGCAAGUACCUCAAACAGUUGAAAGCAAUCUCUUAAGUCGAUCAUACCUGGCGUGAAAUGAUGAAGACCUCAAAGUAAAGGAAACAGCAAGAGAUAAAAACAUCCAAAUUCUGAAACCAGUUUUACCCUGAUCCGGCAGGUUCUUGUUGUUUCGGUUUCCCGGUGUUAAACUCGAAACAAACAAGUCGCCUCAGAAGAAGGAUUUUGCAGAAGUUGGAACAGAGUUGGUACAGUUUGACUGGAGCGAGGACGGCAGGCUCGGUGUGCGCGUGCCCGCUCCCCGGCGCGCGCCUGUCAUGCUCUCCGCUUUGGAACGUCCCCAGAGCCAGUAACUUCCAUUCGAGAGGCGCAUCCAGUAGAGGCGCCACUUGGCUCCUACCUGUCUGCUGCACGUGACCGCCGAAACCAGCUGCCUCAAAUGGGCAACAGAAUGAAGAACCUCCUCCUCAUCUCAUUUUUGGUAUCUUUAGUCAAUCUGUCUGGACAUGUUAUGAUACAACUCUGAACAAGGUGGGACUUAAAUCCAGGCCUUUUGCCCAGAGAUGCUGUCAGUUUUCUGAUGAAGAGUCUAGGCCUGAAACAUCAGCUUUUGUGCUCCUAAGAUGCUGCUUGGCCUGCUGUGUUCAUCCAGCUUCACACUUUGAUGUUUCUCCAGUUCACAGUUUUUGCUCCAAGCUCCCACUUACUUGCCACCUCAAACACCUUGAAUUAGGAUCUGGUCCCCGCUGUUACUUUCUUCUUUACCUCUGAUCAUUUUUGUCUGAUUAGAUUUCUGUGAAGCAUCUUGGGAUUUUUUUUCUAUGUUUAAGUAUUCCAUAUAGACAACAUGUUGUCUUUGCAUUCUGUUCUGAUCAACAUCACACCAGGCAAGAUAAAAGACAAAUUCUGGAGUACCCAAAAGAUGACUGAUACCUAGAAUUCUAGUGGAGGCGAAAACUCCAAUAGCUGUAAUAAAGCGAUUAAAUAUCUCACGUCAGCGUUCAAGUUUCUGCAGAGAUAACUUAAUAAUAAAUUAUCCAGAUGCUGUAAUCUUUGUGACAUAAUAAAUGACACAAAACAAAAGAUUUCUUACUUUUCCAGCUGCUGGUUUUUCAAAACUGGAUGCUGGUAGCCAAAUAACACUGGACCACUUUGAAGUUCAGAAUGGCAAUGUCUUCUAUUCACGAACUAAAUUAACAGUAAACUUCCUUUGGUAAAUAAAGUGGUACUCUAUUAUUUGUUAAAACAGUGCAUAUUUCUUGUACCCUAAACUUUGGCAUACUCCGUAGAAAAUUCUGAUGAUUUUUUUUCUAAAAACUCUAAGUAAAACAUUGAAAUGUAUACAUUUAAGUACUGAUGUUUAUGAUGACUUUUAAAUUGUUAUAUAUAAGCAUGUGAAUCUUUCCAGAUGCCACUAAAGUACAGAGAUUUCUCAAUCUGAACUAACAGACAAAAAUAAAUACUAGAUGAAAUGUUCCUUACAGCAAUUCAUUGUAGCAGCUUGAGAACCAUUGCCCAGAAGUAUGUUAUGGAAGAUGGCAUUCCUGGUUGAAAAUCAACCUCCUGCUACAAUGUCAGAAGCAAAUAUACAGAAGGUGUCCAUUUGUUAAUUUUUUUAGUUGGUGCAUUCAUUCCAUAAAAAUCCAUUUGUAAAAGUGAACUUUCUAUUUUUUAUCAUAUAGGACGUGAGUUUUAGUUACUGAAAAUCUCACUUUAAAACAGACACAUAUGAUUUACAUACUUUAUUAACAUAUUUUACAGUCAUAUUUUGAUUAAUCCCAAGGUUUUCAAUAUGCCAGAAAAUGUUCAGCUUUUACAGUAAUGUACUGUAUUUAACAUUCAUUCAUACAGGGUAACACACUGGUGAACACAAUUUUUAUCUCAAAUUACACACCACUUAUUUGAUAAUAUUAAUUUGGUUAGUGGGUCUUGGAAAACAUAGGAAAACUAAAAUAAAAAUCCAGCAGCAUAUAUGAAUUCAAGUACACUUUUAAAUCAUCUGCAUAUCUGGCAAUCAAACUGCACUAGUAUGGGAACAAAAAGUGAAUGAAAGCCGAUGAUCAUCCUUCAGAGUUAGAGCAAAAAGGAAUACUCCAUGUAUACUUAUUGGAAGAUGAUUCAUAAUUAAAUACCAUACUGACAGCAUAGUAGGUACAAUUAUAUACCUGUACUCAUUGCUGUCUGGUUUUUAAACAUAUACUGUUGGUUAAAUUGUUGAAUUAUUUAAUGCUGUCAAUUAGAAAUAAAAGUUUAACUACCAUUCUGCUCUGCACUCAGGGCCUUUCAAAUUCUUAAAAGAUUCCUUGACGUAUUUGUCAUUACAUAUUAUUGUCUGUCAGUUAUUCUUGCACGUCAGAUAUUGUAUAAGCAUUAACUCACAAUUUUUGUAGGAUUUUAAAAAUACUAAUUAAAGAGAAAUUGUAUCUAAAUAAACAAAUUACCUGAUUACCCAUUAUACAUCAAGUUUCAAUAGCUCCCAAUGUUUACAAAUAUGAAUCAUUCCAAACAAUCUCACAAUCUAGUCCAUGAUAACUCUGACAGGGCCUAUCUAUUAUUGGGUCGCUUUUCUGUAGUUUUGAAUUGCAGCAUAUAAUUAAUAUCUCCCUUUAAGAUGUGAUUUUAUAAAAUUCUUUAAGUUUUCAUGAUUUGUAUUCAGAAUUUCACCUUUUUGUGAUUUAGUACACAGAAACAUUUGUUGACAGGUAUGUGUACUUUUACAUUCGAUAUAAAUAUGACUGAAAUGCUUUUUCCCUCAGAACACCAAAAUCAAAAUCAAACUCAUUUUAUGCAGUUUUUGUACUGGAAUUUGGAUUUGUCCAGUCUUGCUAUAUUUUAAUCAGAAGCUGUAUAUUAUUUGCUAAAGAUUGAAUUUAAAAAAGGGAACAAUAGACAAGAAACAAAAUUGCACAUCUUCUAAAUUGAAGAUAUUUCUAUAACGAAAAGAAAAUACAAGAAGUGCCCACAAAUUCUUGCAGUUAAAUUUUGAAUCCCAUUUGCACUUUGGUUACGAGAAUACAUUAGGACUGUUCAUUUCCCAUAUCAUCUGAAUGUCUGCUGUUUAGUAAAUCAGAUAAAAAAAGGUAGUAAUUACACUGCAUAAUUGUAAUACAAAUAAACCGAGUGCUGACAGUGGUUGUCUGAAACAGAAAUUUGCCAUAGGGAGGGCCUGUGUAUUUUCAUUCUAAUCAUUGCAUAACAUACCACAGUAUCCAAUUUGAAUGCUGAUUGGAUUAAAGUUGGUCAAGGUUGCACAUUUGUAAUGAGAAAAUUCUUCUUUUUAAAUGGUGACCAAACUUGGUAAACACACCGUCUCCAUAAGGUGCUUAUAAAUUGCAAAGCAUAAAGCUAGGCUCCCAAAUAAGCAAUUUAUUAAAAAGAUAUUUGUUCUGUUACUAGCAGCAGUCAGUCCCAAUAUUUCUUUUGCUCAGUUACCUUUAACAAAAUAAGAAACAAAAUUUCCUGAGACUGAAUGUUUUACAGCCUAUUUUUGUUUUAAUUAGGAAGUUUCUACAGAUUGAAGCCUUUUUUUGUAAAUUCCUUUUAAAUAAACUGGGCACAUUACAGUAAACUUAAUGAAAAUUACUAUGGCCAGAUAAAAAUCAAAACCUCUUAAAGCAAAGAAAAAAAACUCAGCAUAGACUAAUCAGAAAAAAAAUGUAAUAACAAAUGAAGCAGGCUUCAAAUAAUUAAUUUCUAAAUAGUGUACUGCCAUCAAGUGUAUAGGACCAGAUUUCACCCACCUAUGAAUGUGCACUUUUUCCAAGGAAACAAAAUUAGCAACCAACCUUUCAAAAAUAACACAUUAUAUCAAUCUUGGCCAUAUUCUAUAAACAUUUCAUCUAUUUUAGUGAGGAGCACACAAAUUCAAAUUGUGCUUUUUGUACACAUACUUUGCUACAAUUUCUUUAUUAUGACUAAUAAAUAAAACACUCUUUAGUCUAUUGAAGAUAGUUUAGCCCAUUGCAAGAGACAGGCUUUUAGCUUUGCUGGGAUUUUUCACAGAGUGCCAUAAAAUGGAUAUUAAUAGCACCUUCGCAGAAUAAUGAUCUUGUGGUUUGUUUUGUAAUAAAAUGGUUAUUUUUAAAAAUAAAUUUCACAACAUUAGUAUGAACUAAAGCUUCUCGAUGACCAUGUUUCAGGAAAGAUUUGUAAGUCAGUUAUAAUCCAUUGUAAUGUGGCCCCCAUCUCUUAUUGAUGUGAUCAAAGGUAUGUGUCACCCACUGUUGCUCCAAAACUUUAUAGCGUUCACUGCACAAG